rnacentral:rRNA from 1 species
UAGCUACAGGCUUAACACAUGCAAGUCGAGGGGAAACGACAUCGAAAGCUUGCUUUUGAUGGGCGUCGACCGGCGCACGGGUGAGUAACGCGUAUCCAACCUGCCCACCACUUGGGGAUAACCUUGCGAAAGUAAGACUAAUACCCAAUGACGUCUCUAGAAGACAUCUGAAAGAGAUUAAAGAUUUAUCGGUGAUGGAUGUGGAUGCGUCUGAUUAGCUUGUUGGCGGGGUAACGGCCCACCAAGGCGACGAUCAGUAGGGGUUCUGAGAGGAAGGUCCCCCACAUUGGAACUGAGACACGGUCCAAACUCCUACGGGAGGCAGCAGUGAGGAAUAUUGGUCAAUGGACGAGAGUCUGAACCAGCCAAGUAGCGUGCAGGAUGACGGCCCUAUGGGUUGUAAACUGCUUUUAUAAGGGAAUAAAGUGAGUCUCGUGAGACUUUUUGCAUGUACCUUAUGAAUAAGGACCGGCUAAUUCCGUGCCAGCAGCCGCGGUAAUACGGAAGGUCCGGGCGUUAUCCGGAUUUAUUGGGUUUAAAGGGAGCGUAGGCCGGAGAUUAAGCGUGUUGUGAAAUGUAGACGCUCAACGUCUGCACUGCAGCGCGAACUGGUUUCCUUGAGUACGCACAAAGUGGGCGGAAUUCGUGGUGUAGCGGUGAAAUGCUUAGAUAUCACGAAGAACUCCGAUUGCGAAGGCAGCUCACUGGAGCGCAACUGACGCUGAAGCUCGAAAGUGCGGGUAUCGAACAGGAUUAGAUACCCUGGUAGUCCGCACGGUAAACGAUGGAUGCCCGCUGUUGGUCUGAAUAGGUCAGCGGCCAAGCGAAAGCAUUAAGCAUCCCACCUGGGGAGUACGCCGGCAACGGUGAAACUCAAAGGAAUUGACGGGGGCCCGCACAAGCGGAGGAACAUGUGGUUUAAUUCGAUGAUACGCGAGGAACCUUACCCGGGCUUGAAUUGCAGAGGAAGGAUUUGGAGACAAUGACGCCCUUCGGGGCCUCUGUGAAGGUGCUGCAUGGUUGUCGUCAGCUCGUGCCGUGAGGUGUCGGCUUAAGUGCCAUAACGAGCGCAACCCCUCUCCUUAGUUGCCAUCAGGUCAAGCUGGGCACUCUGGGGACACUGCCACCGUAAGGUG